AAACAACAAAUGUCACAGUUGGUGAUGACAGUCCAGCAGCUCAUUCAUGUGCAAGCUGCUGCUACAUCAAUUCUGCCACAACAGCCAGCCAUAUUCACAGCACCACCUCUGUGCGUCCAGCACAGUUCUGAGCGUUCAGUGAACAACAAGAGGGAGGGAAUGAGUACUUUGCUCAGCUUGAUACUCAUUGUGCUACUCAUCAAGUGCAAGUUGUUAUGCUGUGAGGAGAAUUUCCCAAGAAUAUGAUGUCAGAACUCACAAGGGAAAGUAUGCGUGCCACCACUCUCCUUCAGCACUUGUGGGAAUUCCAAGCUCUCUAAAAUGACCUAUGCAACGAGAAUUAUAUGGAACAGCACAUCACAUUCUUAAAUUCUAUUUCAGAUUGUUUUGUUAUUGCUCCCAAACCACUCUGUAUGCUGAAGUCACAAAUGAAAAGAUUUCAGUCUAAGAGCCUUUCUGUUUCCAUCUUCAAUCAAUACACUGGUGUCAUCUGCAAAUAGGUACUACAUUUGACAGAUAACUUUGGUUUGGAGUGUCGAACAUGUAGAUGGAAACGCAGUCCUAAGAAAAUUAUUCUUGGCCCCCCAAAAAUAAUUUUGUGACUUGAUCAGAGGCACUGACUUGAAAAUAAUCACUUAGUAUGAAGUCUGUAAUAUCUGUUCCAAAUUUUGUAAUGUUCAUCAGAUUGAAUGUAAUCACCUAAACUAACCACAAGUGCACACCAAGACUAUGAAUUCACUCAUUUACAUGAAUAGUGUCGUAAGCAGCUGCAUUUUCUGUAAUUCAAAAUUUUAGAGAGAUGUGCAAAGUUUAUAAUGUAGAAGAAAAAUUUAUUUUCAAUAUGGCAUAUGACUGUUGCAUUUAUCAAGUUUUGAAAAAACAGAGACUGUUUUUAUG